GACGCGGGGUGGAGCAGUCUGGUAGCUCGUCGGGCUCAUAACCCGAAGGUCGGUGGUUCAAAUCCGCCCCCGCAAUACCA
rnacentral:tRNA from 1 species